rnacentral:tRNA from 1 species
UCCCUGAUGGUCCAAUGGUUAGGACUUGGCACUUUCAGUGUCAGGGGCCAAGGUUCAGUUCCUGCUUGGGGAA